CUCAGAUUUAGAGAAGGCCUAAGCUUUGUUUAUUAUAAUAUUUGGAGGUAUGGGUGUUGAUCUUGAAUCUCUUUCAGAGGCAACCUCCGGUGCCAUUGGCUCCUUACUCAGUACAACGAUCUUGUACCCUCUUGAUACCUGUAAGACCAAGUAUCAAGCCGAGGUUCGUGCUCAUGGCCAGCGAAAAUACAGGCACCUUUCUGAUGUUUUAUGGGAAGCACUAUCCAAUGGACAAAUUCUUUCACUAUAUCAAGGCUUAGGGACAAAAAAUCUGCAGUCUUUCAUUUCACAGUUUGUCUACUUCUAUGGGUACAGCUACUUUAAAAGGCUAUAUCUGGAAAAAAGUGGUUUCAAAAGAAUUGGAACGAAAGCUAACUUGAUUAUUGCUGCUGCUGCUGGUGCUUGCACUGCC
rnacentral:misc_RNA from 1 species